AUUAAGUGUUGGUAUUUUUUUAAGACUUCUGUGGAUCUGUGUCUCCUCUUUUAUCUCAUUUUUGUGGACUGUAAUAUUGAGGGGAGACAAAGUCUACAUAUCAACUGUUAGCAAUAUCUACAUAUCAACUGUCACCUAUCGCUAGAGCAAGGGGGAGAACACAUGCAGGGGGAGCUACAAAUUAACAGGGAAGUAAAAUUAGAUAUCAUAAACUGCAAGUUGUCAUUAUAAAAAAGGGGAAAUUGUUAACUUGUCAUGUUUUGAAUAAUGACAGGAACACGAAGUAAUAUCUCAAAGGCAUUCCAAUCAAAUAAAUUGAAGACAAAUCACAUCGCAAGAAAUUCGGGAUUAUGCAAUCACUCUAGAUGCUGAAUCAAUCACAAAUUCAAUCUCCAGAAACUGAAAAGGAAAAAGCAGAUUAUCAAAGAAAAGGGAUAUCAACAAUGAUUGACAAUAUCAAUCAAGGAAAUUUAACCUCAGCACCAAAAGGAAAAUCGCAUCAACAAAGGAAGGAGAUCAUUACAUGACCAAAAGAAGAUCAGCAUAUGACAACUAGUCAACCUCUGAUUCAAGGCAGAAAUCAACUUGGAAUGACAAAUCAAGUUAGAGACAAAAUCUUACUCAAUCAAGGUAUCAUUACAAACUCUUGAUUGAAGGAAAUUCCCUUGGGUUUUCUAAAAAGAGAUAAAAUACGCCUCAACUCGAGAGAAAAUACGCCUCAACUCUCAGCCUAUAAAUGAAGAACUUAGAAGACCAAGAUAAUCACGCAACUUCACUUGAGCUUUGCAUACAACCUUAUUUUAUCUUUCAUAAAUCUUUGUAAACACGUGAGUGAUAUAAUUGAACAGAAAAGAAAAAGAAAAAAACUGAGUGUAGGUUUACAACUUAGAGGCAGUGUCAUAUAGAAAUCUGAUUUGCAUAUCAGACAUGAUCAAGUUCUGAAUUGCUGUAACUCAAUACCCCGAAAAUCUCUAAAGGAAAGCCCUUGAAACCCAAGGGGACUGGACUAGGCACCAUAUUGGUGAUCCGAACCAGUAUAAAA